UUUGCCCUUUAUUAUUGUGAUUUUGUGGACCUCUGACCUGGUGAGUAUCUCAUUACAGACAGCUGCUCGUUGCCAUCAGUCAGGUCUGACACCACUUCUUUGGUUUGCAGAUCCAGUACAACCCAUCUAAAAAGGUGCCAGGUCUGCGCUCCAGCGGAUGACCUUGCGGUCCUUGCCGCCACCGCUGAGUAUAGCUCCACCCUGCAGGACGCACAUAGCGAAAACACUGCCCUCAUGAGCACGCGUCUGCUUCAUGAUCUGAAAUGUCUCUGCAAGCAGGGAGAGAAGAAAAAAAGUGGCAAAGUGAAUUUGAAAAGAUGGACAGUAUCUGUAGUUUGUCAACAGCUGAUUUUCCCCAUGUGAGAAUGUUCCCCUCAGAGUCUCCCGUCAACACAUCACCCGUAAGACUGAACACGAAGCACAGGACGAACUUGGGCUUUUUGUAUUUCUGUUAAUGAAACAAUGAACAAAAUCACCAACCCUAACAAAUUCCAAACAAUUAAUAAAUUCAUAGUUAAAUACA